CCUACGGGAGGCAGCAGUAGGGAAUAUUGCUCAAUGGGGGAAACCCUGAAGCAGCAACGCCGCGUGGAGGAUGAAGGUUUUAGGAUUGUAAACUCCUUUUGUUAGAGAAGAUAAUUACGGUAUCUCACGAAUAAGCACCGGCUAACUCCGUGCCAGCAGCCGCGGUAAUACGGAGGGUGCACACGUUACUCGGAAUCACUGGGCGUAAAGAUCGCGUAGGCGGGAUAGUAAGUCAGAUGUGAAAUCCUAGGGCUUAAACAUAGGACUGCAUUUGAAACUUUGAUUCUAGAGUAUGGGAGAGGGAGGUGGAAUUCUUGGUGUAGGGGUAAAAUGCGUAGAGAUCAAGAGGAAUACUCAUUGCGAAGGCGACCUGCUAGAACAUAACUGACGCUGAUGCGCGAAAGCGUGGGGAGCAAACAGGAUUAGAUACCCCUGUAGUC
rnacentral:rRNA from 1 species